rnacentral:rRNA from 1 species
UACGGGGGGGGUAAGCGUUGUUCGGAAUUACUGGGCGUAAAGGGCUCGUAGGCGGCCAACUAAGUCAUACGUGAAAUCCCUCAGCUUAACUGGGGAACUGCGUGUGAUACUGGAUGGCUUGGAUUUGGGAGAGGGAUGCGGAAUUCCAGGUGUAGCGGUGAAAUGCGUAGAUAUCAGGAGGAACACCGGUGGCGAAGGCGGGUCUCUGGGCCGAUACUGACGCUGAGGAGCGAAAGCGUGGGGAGCGAACAGG